UACGGAGGAUGCAAGCGUUAUCCGGAAUUACUGGGCGUAAAGAGCUCGUAGGUGGUUUGUCGCGUUGUUCGUGAAAACCGGGGGCUUAACCCUCGGCGUGCGGGCGAUACGGGCAGACUUGAGUACUGCAGGGGAGACUGGAAUUCCUGGUGUAGCGGUGGAAUGCGCAGAUAUCAGGAGGAACACCGGUGGCGAAGGCGGGUCUCUGGGCAGUAACUGACGCUGAGGAGCGAAAGCGUGGGGAGCGAACAGG
rnacentral:rRNA from 1 species